rnacentral:rRNA from 1 species
GAUGAACGCUAGCUACAGGCUUAACACAUGCAAGUCGAGGGGUAACGAGAGGAAAGCUUGCUUUCCUUGUCGACGACCGGCGCACGGGUGAGUAACGCGUAUCCAACCUGCCCCCAACUAAGGAAUAACCUUGCGAAAGUAAGACUAAUACCUUAUAAUUUCCUCAGAUGUCAUCUGACGAGGAAUAAAGAUUUAUCGGUUGUGGAUGGGGAUGCGUCUGAUAAGCUUGUUGGCGGGGUAACGGCCCACCAAGGCAACGAUCAGUAGGGGUUCUGAGAGGAAGGUCCCCCACAUUGGAACUGAGACACGGUCCAAACUCCUACGGGAGGCAGCAGUGAGGAAUAUUGGUCAAUGGGCGAAAGCCUGAACCAGCCAAGUAGCGUGCGGGAUGACGGCCCUAUGGGUUGUAAACUGCUUUUAUACAGGAAUAAAGUUAGCCACGUGUGGUUAUUUGUAGGUACUGUAUGAAUAAGGACCGGCUAAUUCCGUGCCAGCAGCCGCGGUAA